CAGCAACAACACUGGGGGCUAUUUACGGCUCACUUUCAAAUAGGCCAAAAGUUGCGGCGGGACAGCGCAGGCGAGUCUCUGCUCGGCUUGGGUUGUUUUGCAUCUCAAGCAAGUGUUUUCUCUCAGCCUCAAGAUGGAAAAGCAAAUUAGCAUUGGCGCUCGCUCGCUCGCUCGGCCCGACUCCGCCAAAACCCCCAGAGUGGCCUGAUGACAGCUGCCAGAUUGCCUUCUCCGGAGAGUGGAACUGAGGCGACACGGCUUGUGCUAAAGUAAACAGAGAGUUAGUCCGCUUAGCUUGACAUAGCAGGCCGAGGAGCGUUCUUUUUUUGGUCUUUUCUUUUCACAAAAUAAGCUAGACAUCAUACGGGCCGAGUGGAAGUGGUUCCGCAAGAGGCACUACUAUGCUGAGGAGGUGUAAUGUUUCACCAUCAGAGAUUGGGAGUCAGCGCAGGUUGACAGGAAGCUGAUUGUGGAGAUACAAAAGAUCCGUUGACAAUUUACAGCUGACGUGAGCCGCUCGCUACCCCCGUCCGUAAAGUGGGGCCUGCCUGCCUCAGUUCCCAGAAGGAACGCUGCUGAACAUUUGAUGCAAGGCCAGGCGCAACCAGCCUGAUUAUAAACACGUGUCUCUUCCAAAGGGCCCUCGGAGAGACAUCAACGGGCCACUGAAUAAAUGUGCUGCCGACUG